CCAUGCCCAGCAUUAACCCCCCUCAACAACCACCUCCGCCUAUGAAGCCCGCCCGGUAGGCGACAUCAGCAAAGUGCCAACGCUGUAUAUAUAUAUAUUGAUCACGAGCUACCAUGCCAGCAUAGCCUCGUCCCCCGCUACCUGAAACUCUGUUGCACCCGAUGAUGAAAUCGGCAUGAACACACACACACACACAUAUUCACACAUACUGAGUGGUGGCGACGCUCUCGACGUUGAAAUUAACAUGAAACUACACACACACAUACACACUGCGUAAUCGCGACGUCCUCGUCUAGACUCGCUAUCUAGAACUAACGGGAUCAAAAGCACUGCUGCUUGCCCGUGCGUAUACAUUAAGAAUAAAGCUUUCAUCAUUCUUGAUCUUGACACCAAACCGAGCAGUUGAUUUAUUUAAAGUGCCUGGGCAGCAACUAACUAAGAGUAGAGAAAGGAGGACCCCCGAUCCAACGGAGGCACUCGUAACUGGCGCAGCCGGACUAGAACUAAAAGGAUUAACAACGCCUUUCACGUUCUUCGUUCCACUUCUGUAAACGGUCAAACAUUGGAGCCAACACUUACUUAGAAAGAAACAAACGGAUUCAUAUUAUAAAUACACACUACAUUUUAAGAUUAUCUAUAUAUAAGAUUACAAUUACUUAAUUACACCUUAUUAUUUAAGCUAAAACAUUAUUACACUAAACAUAUACACAACAUAUAGGUACACGUAUACAAAAGUAUAUAAGCACAAUAACACAUAUACCAUAUUUUUAAGUACAACACACAGACUACACAAAUCAAAAACACCUACAUGCCAAAGAGAAUUCCGAAACUGCACCUGGAGGCAUUGGCAACAACCGGGAAAAUGGACUACAUAACUCAACAAUACUUUACCGCUACGUACCUUGCAUGGAGCAUAGUACUAAUACUUGUGAUCUGUCUCCGAACCUGUAAAAGGCAGAAAACGAUUUUUACCCAGCAACCCACCCACACACCUCACGUUGUCGAGUCGGCUAUCCCUUCGUUAUGGCCAUCUCUCCACACUAGGGGGGGAGGAGUUACCAUGCCCAGCAUUAACCCCCCUCAACAACCACCUCCGCCUAUGAAGCCCGCCCGGUAGGCGACAUCAGCAAAGUGCCAACGCUGUAUAUAUAUAUAUUGAUCACGAGCUACCAUGCCAGCAUAGCCUCGUCCCCCGCUACCUGAAACUCUGUUGCACCCGAUGAUGAAAUCGGCAUGAACACACACACACACACAUAUUCACACAUACUGAGUGGUGGCGACGCUCUCGACGUUGAAAUUAACAUGAAACUACACACACACAUACACACUGCGUAAUCGCGACGUCCUCGUCUAGACUCGCUAUCUAGAACUAACGGGAUCAAAAGCACUGCUGCUUGCCCGUGCGUAUACAUUAAGAAUAAAGCUUUCAUCAUUCUUGAUCUUGACACCAAACCGAGCAGUUGAUUUAUUUAAAGUGCCUGGGCAGCAACUAACUAAGAGUAGAGAAAGGAGGACCCCCGAUCCAACGGAGGCACUCGUAACUCGCGCCAGAUCAGUUCGUCUGACGAUACCAAUAGUGAGGGAAGAGAAACUGCGAAUAAAACGAUCUUC